AACGAACGCUGGCGGCAGGCUUAACACAUGCAAGUCGAACGGAUCCUUCGGGAUUAGUGGCAGACGGGUGAGUAACGCGUGGGAACGUACCCUUUGCUACGGAAUAACUCAGGGAAACUUGAGCUAAUACCGUAUGUGCCCUACGGGGGAAGGAUUUAUCGGCAAAGGAUCGGCCCGCGUUGGAUUAGCUAGUUGGUGGGGUAAUGGCCUACCAAGGCGACGAUCCAUAGCUGGUCUGAGAGGAUGAUCAGCCACACUGGGACUGAGACACGGCCCAGACUCCUACGGGAGGCAGCAGUGGGGAAUAUUGGACAAUGGGCGCAAGCCUGAUCCAGCCAUGCCGCGUGAGUGAUGAAGGUCUUAGGAUUGUAAAGCUCUUUCACCGGUGAAGAUAAUGACGGUAGCCGGAGAAGAAGCCCCGGCUAACUUCGUG
rnacentral:rRNA from 1 species